CAGCAGCCGCGGUAAAACGUAGGGUGCAAGCGUUAAUCGGAAUUACUGGGCGUAAAGCGUGCGCAGGCGGUUAUAUAAGACAGAUGUGAAAUCCCCGGGCUCAACCUGGGAACUGCAUUUGUGACUGUAUAGCUAGAGUACGGCAGAGGGGGAUGGAAUUCCGCGUGUAGCAGUGAAAUGCGUAGAUAUGCGGAGGAACACCGAUGGCGAAGGCAAUCCCCUGGGCCUGUACUGACGCUCAUGCACGAAAGCGUGGGGAGCAAACAGGAUUAGAGACCCGGGUAGUCCCUGUCUCUUAUAC
rnacentral:rRNA from 1 species